rnacentral:rRNA from 1 species
AAAUUGAAGAGUUUGAUCAUGGCUCAGAUUGAACGCUGGCGGCAGGCCUAACACAUGCAAGUCGAACGGUAACAGGAAGCAGCUUGCUGCUUUGCUGACGAGUGGCGGACGGGUGAGUAAUGUCUGGGAAACUGCCCGAUGGAGGGGGAUAACUACUGGAAACGGUGGCUAAUACCGCAUAACGUCGCAAGACCAAAGAGGGGGACCUUCGGGCCUCUUGCCAUCAGAUGUGCCCAGAUGGGAUUAGCUUGUUGGUGAGGUAACGGCUCACCAAGGCGACGAUCCCUAGCUGGUCUGAGAGGAUGACCAGCCACACUGGAACUGAGACACGGUCCAGACUCCUACGGGAGGCAGCAGUGGGGAAUAUUGCAGCA